rnacentral:rRNA from 1 species
AACGCGAAGAACCUUACCAGGUCUUGACAUCCUCUGACACUCCUAGAGAUAGGACGUUCCCCUUCGGGGGACAGAGUGACAGGUGGUGCAUGGUUGUCGUCAGCUCGUGUCGUGAGAUGUUGGGUUAAGUCCCGCAACGAGCGCAACCCUUGAUCUUAGUUGCCAGCAUUCAGUUGGGCACUCUAAGGUGACUGCCGGUGACAAACCGGAGGAAGGUGGGGAUGACGUCAAAUCAUCAUGCCCCUUAUGACCUGGGCUACACACGUGCUACAAUGGAUGGUACAAAGGGCUGCAAAACCGCGAGGUCGAGCCAAUCCCAUAAAACCAUUCUCAGUUCGGAUUGUAGGCUGCAACUCGCCUACAUGAAGCUGGAAUCGCUAGUAAUCGUGGAUCAGCAUGCCACGGUGAAUACGUUCCCGGGCCUUGUACACACCGUAGUAC